rnacentral:rRNA from 1 species
UACAGAGGGGGCAAGCGUUAUUCGGAAUUAUUGGGCGUAAAGGGCGCGUAGGCGGUCCUUCAAGUCUCUCGUGAAAUCCCUCGGCUUAACUGAGGACGUGCGGGAGAUACUGCUGGGCUUGAGUCCGGAAGAGGGUGGUGGAAUUCCCGGUGUAGUGGUGAAAUGCGUAGAUAUCAGGAGGAACACCGGUGGCGAAGGCGCUCAUCUGGCCCGAUACUGACGCUGAUGCGCGAAAGCUAGGGGAGCGAACAGG